GGACUGUAGCAAUACAGUUGCUGGCGACCGGCAAACGGGUGCGGAACACGUACGCAACCUUCCUUUAAGUGGAGGAUAGCCCGGGGAAACCCGGAUUAAUACUCCGUAACAUUAUGAAGUGGCAUCACUUUAUAAUUAUAGCUCCGGCGCUUAAAGAUGGGCGUGCGUCUGAUUAGGUAGUUGGCGGGGUAAUGGCCCACCAAGCCUACGAUCAGUAACUGGUGUGAGAGCACGACCAGUCACACGGGCACUGAGACACGGGCCCGACUCCUACGGGAGGCAGCAGUAAGGAAUAUUGGUCAAUGGACGCAAGUCUGAACCAGCCAUGCCGCGUGGAGGAUGAAGGUCCUCUGGAUUGUAAACUUCUUUUAUCUGGGAAGAAACCCAUGGUUUCUACUGUGGUUGACGGUACCAGAUGAAUAAGCACCGGCUAACUCCGUGCCAGCAGCCGCGGUAAUACGGAGGGUGCAAGCGUUAUCCGGAUUCACUGGGUUUAAAGGGUGCGUAGGCGGGCAGGUAAGUCAGUGGUGAAAUCUCCGGGCUUAACCCGGAAACUGCCGUUGAUACUAUCUGUCUUGAAUAUAGUGGAGGUGAGCGGAAUAUGUCAUGUAGCGGUGAAAUGCUUAGAUAUGACAUAGAACACCAAUUGCGAAGGCAGCUCGCUACACUAUUAUUGACGCUGAGGCACGAAAGCGUGGGGAUCAAACAGGAUUAGAUACCCUGGUAGUCCACGCCCUAAACGAUGAUUACUCGACAUCAGCGAUACACUGUUGGUGUCUGAGCGAAAGCAUUAAGUAAUCCACCU
rnacentral:rRNA from 1 species